GCAGUCGAGCGGUAACAGAUCCAGCUUGCUGGAUGCUGACGAGCGGCGGACGGGUGAGUAAUGCAUAGGAAUCUGCCCGAUAGUGGGGGAUAACCUGGGGAAACCCAGGCUAAUACCGCAUACGUCCUACGGGAGAAAGGGGGCUUUGGCUCCCGCUAUCGGAUGAGCCUAUGUCGGAUUAGCUAGUUGGUGAGGUAACGGCUCACCAAGGCGACGAUCCGUAGCUGGUCUGAGAGGAUGAUCAGCCACAUCGGGACUGAGACACGGCCCGAACUCCUACGGGAGGCAGCAGUGGGGAAUAUUGGACAAUGGGGGGAACCCUGAUCCAGCCAUGCCGCGUGUGUGAAGAAGGCCCUCGGGUUGUAAAGCACUUUCAGCGAGGAAGAACGCCUAGCGGUUAAUACCCGCUAGGAAAGACAUCACUCGCAGAAGAAGCACCGGCUAACUCCGUGCCAGCAGCCGCGGUAAUACGGAGGGUGCAAGCGUUAAUCGGAAUUACUGGGCGUAAAGCGCGCGUAGGUGGCUUGAUAAGCCGGUUGUGAAAGCCCCGGGCUCAACCUGGGAACGGCAUCCGGAACUGUCAAGCUAGAGUGCAGGAGAGGAAGGUAGAAUUCCCGGUGUA
rnacentral:rRNA from 1 species